UGCCCAGCAACUGCUUUGCUUACCUCCUGGAGGUACUGACCGGGGUACGAACUUUGGUCGUAUGCUGACAAGGAAGG
rnacentral:ribozyme from 1 species